GGUCAGCGAAGGGCGGCUGCGGCUGGGGUUGGCGUCUCGGCGCCCCGAGGGCCAGCGCUGGGUGACUCGGACGGCCCCCAGGGGGACCGAGGGACGAGCGAGGAGCGAAGCCCGGGAGGAGGCGGCGGCUGCAGGCUGCAGCCUCCAGUGCCCGAACAAUAAGCAGCAGGCGGUCGGCGGAGACCCUCCCUCAUUGUGUACCGUGGACCUGCCCCCGCCCCGCCCCUUUUGCCUUAAACAGAGCAACCGCUUUGAUAUGUUAGUAAUUAUCAACCCGGCAGCACUGACUCAGAGGCAGUGUCUUUUAUUCGAGUGAACUAAUUGCAACCUUUCGGUACUCCUACUCCAUUACUCAAAAUAGAAAAAUGCCCAGAAGAACAAAGGAAAGUUUUUUUGUUUGGUUGGUUCAGGUUUUUUUUUUUUUUUUUUUUUUUUUUUGGUUUUGGUUUUGGUUCUUCGGUUUGUUGGGUUUUGUUUACAAACAGUACUUCCUAGCACCGAUUUAAUAAAAAUGUUUAAAAAGGAAAGAAAAGAAAAGAAGGGGGUAAAGCUACGUGUGUAGAAACGUGUGUACACACUUGUGCGCAAGCACGUGUGCGCGACGGGAUGCGAAUCCGUCUGCUGCAUCAAUUAGAGACACGUAUGUAAAGCGCAAGGCGGCGGCAAAGAGGUCACCGCGCGAGCCCUCUUUAUUCCCAACGCUAAAAAUAACCCCCAGCCCGAAAGAACUAUUCGAUUUCAAAUACCGGGGGCAUCUGAGGCUGCGGCCCACACCAAGUCCCAGCGCGCAGUGUCACGCGAAACCGAAAAUCGGUUUGCUCUGCGGCGGGGCGGGGAGGCGACAGCCACACAAAGAGACGCGGGCUCGCGGUCACGCCGCUCGCUCGCAGCCCCCGGGCGGUCCCGGCCACGGCGGCCCAGGGACCGGUGUUUACACCAAGCGCCCCCGCGAGCGUGGGCCCGGGGAGCGUGCGCGCACACACACACACACACGCACGCACGCGCGCACACACACACGCACGCCGGCGAGCAUGUGGCGGAUCCCCUCGCGCGAUCCUGCACCCCGGCUCGAAUUCAGCGCGAGGCGAAAACAGGUCUAG
rnacentral:lncRNA from 1 species